rnacentral:rRNA from 1 species
GUGGGGGAUAUUGCACAAUGGGGGAAACCCUGAUGCAGCGACGCCGCGUGAAGGAAGACGUACUUCGGUAUGUAAACUUCUAUCAGCAGGGAAGAAGAUGACGGUACCUGACUAAGAAGCCCCGGCUAACUACGUGCCAGCAGCCGCGGUAAUACGUAGGGGGCAAGCGUUAUCCGGAUUUACUGGGUGUAAAGGGAGCGUAGACGGUGAAGCAAGUCUGAUGUGAAAACCCGGGGCUCAACUCCGGGAUUGCAUUGGAAACUGUUUUACUUGAGUGCUGGAGGGGCAAGCGGAAUUCCUGGUGUAGCGGUGAAAUGCGUAGAUAUCAGGAAGAACACCGGUGGCGAAGGCGGCUUGCUGGACAGUAACUGACGUUGAGGCUCGAAAGCGUGGGGAGCAAACAGGAUUAGAAACCCCAGUAGUCC